rfam:Populus trichocarpa isolate Nisqually-1 chromosome 16, whole genome shotgun sequence.
GGUCGAUGAUGAUAAAUCCAAAGGCUUGUUUCUCAAAACAUUCGCAGUGGCCGUCUAAGUGCUUUCGCCUUCGCCAGGCUUGAGAGCUUAUGCUGCUUUUAUCCUUCCUUGGAUGUCUGAGAUC